GGAAUUACUGGGCGUAAGCGCACGCAGGCGGUCUGUCAAGUCGGAUGUGAAAUCCCCGGGCUCAACCUGGGAACUGCAUUCGAAACUGGCAGGCUAGAGUCUUGUAGAGGGGGGUAGAAUUCCAGGUGUAGCGGUGAAAUGCGUAGAGAUCUGGAGGAAUACCGGUGGCGAAGGCGGCCCCCUGGACAAAGACUGACGCUCAGGUGCGAAAGCGUGGGGAGCAAACAGGAUUAGAUACCCUGGUAGUCCACGCCGUAAACGAUGUCGACUUGGAGGUUGUUCCCUUGAGGAGUGGCUUCCGGAGCUAACGCGUUAAGUCGACCGCCUGGGGAGUACGGCCGCAAGGUUAAAACUCAAGGAAAUUUGACGGAGGCCCGCACAAGCGGUGGACCAUGUGGUUUAAUUCAAUGCAACGCGAAGAACCUUACCUACUCUUGACAUCCAGAGAACUUUCCACAGAUGGAUUGGUGCCUUCGGGAACUCUGAGACAGGUGCUGCAUGGCUGUCGUCAGCUCGUGUUGUGAAAUGUUGGGUUAAGUCCCGCAACGAGCGCAACCCUUAUCCUUUGUUGCCAGCGGUUCGGCCGGGAACUCAAAGGAGACUGCCAGUGAUAAACUGGAGGAAGGUGGGGAUGAC
rnacentral:rRNA from 1 species